rnacentral:rRNA from 1 species
AGCAGGCGCGAAACCUUUACAAUGCACGAAAGUGUGAUAAGGGGAUCCUAAGUGCUUAUGCAAAGCAUAGGCUUUUGCCAAGUGUAAAUAGCUUGGAGAAUAAGUGGUGGGCAAGACUGGUGCCAGCCGCCGCGGUAA